rnacentral:rRNA from 1 species
CUGCGGUGAAUACGUUCCCGGGCCUUGUACACACCGCCCGUCAAGCCAUGGAAGCUGGGGGUACCUGAAGUACGUAACCGCAAGGAGCGUCCUAGGGUAAAACCGGUAACUGGGCU